CGGGUGUAGUUCAAUGGUAGAACUCCAGCUUCCCAAGCUGGUAGCGCGGGUUCGAUUCCCGUCACCC
rnacentral:tRNA from 1 species